GCCUUUCCUGCGGAAUAGCUCCGGGAAACUGGAAUUAAUACCGCAUACGCCCUACGGGGGAAAGAUUUAUCGGGGAAGGAUUGGCCCGCGUUGGAUUAGCUAGUUGGUGGGGUAAAGGCCUACCAAGGCGACGAUCCAUAGCUGGUCUGAGAGGAUGAUCAGCCACAUUGGGACUGAGACACGGCCCAAACUCCUACGGGAGGCAGCAGUGGGGAAUAUUGGACAAUGGGCGCAAGCCUGAUCCAGCCAUGCCGCGUGAGUGAUGAAGGCCUUAGGGUUGUAAAGCUCUUUCACCGGAGAAGAUAAUGACGGUAUCCGGAGAAGAAGCCCCGGCUAACUUCGUGCCAGCAGCCGCGGUAAUACGAAGGGGGCUAGCGUUGUUCGGAAUUACUGGGCGUAAAGCGCACGUAGGCGGAUAUUUAAGUCAGGGGUGAAAUCCCAGAGCUCAACUCUGGAACUGCCUUUGAUACUGGGUAUCUUGAGUAUGGAAGAGGUAAGUGGAAUUCCGAGUGUAGAGGUGAAAUUCGUAGAUAUUCGGAGGAACACCAGUGGCGAAGGCGGCUUACUGGUCCAUUACUGACGCUGAGGUGCGAAAGCGUGGGGAGCAAACAGGAUUAGAUACCCUGUUAGUCCACGCCGUAAACGAUGAAUGUUAGCCGUCGGGCAGUAUACUGUUCGGUGCGCAGCUGAAGCCUUAAACAUUCCGCCUGGGGAGACGGUCGCAAGAUAAAACUCUAAGGAAUUGACGGGGGCCCGCACAAGCGGUGGAGCUGUGGUUUAA
rnacentral:rRNA from 1 species